rnacentral:rRNA from 1 species
AGCGAACGCUGGCGGCAGGCUUAACACAUGCAAGUCGAGCGGGCAUCUUCGGAUGUCAGCGGCAGACGGGUGAGUAACACGUGGGAACGUACCCUUCGGUUCGGAACAACUCUGGGAAACUGGAGCUAAUACCGGAUACGCCCUUAUGGGGAAAGGUUUACUGCCGAAGGAUCGGCCCGCGUCUGAUUAGCUAGUUGGUGGGGUUACGGCCUACCAAGGCGACGAUCAGUAGCUGGUCUGAGAGGAUGAUCAGCCACACUGGGACUGAGACACGGCCCAGACUCCUACGGGAGGCAGCAGUGGGGAAUAUUGGACAAUGGGCGCAAGCCUGAUCCAGCCAUGCCGCGUGAGUGAUGAAGGCCUUAGGGUUGUAAAGCUCUUUUGUCCGGGACGAUAAUGACGGUACCGGAAGAAUAAGCCCCGGCUAACUUCGUG